AUAAGGCUGCUCCUGUCUGGUAAAACAUCUCUCUGCCAAGAGCUCCAGUAUGUGUCUGAAUAACCACUUCCUUGAGCCUUCUCGGAGGGUACUGUGCUGAGCCACCCCUCAAGCUGCAAUUCUUCGAUUCUCAGGUCUUAUGAAGUAGCAUGGAUGUGGGAACACACUUCAGGGCUGGCUGUUCCGAAAACUCCCUCCGACCUCUAGGGAAGCCCUUACUUGCCAAUUGUGGACGAAGAUGAAUGUGCUUCCUCUGGGGCCCGACAAGAGAUGGCAACCACAGUUCCUUCAGGACUUACAGUAAGCAGUUUAUUGAAAAUAAUAUCAAAAUGGAAAUUUUCAUCAAAGGAAAUGGCUUUGCAAUGUUUUGCCAUUUUACUAUUUACUAGAUCCUCUUUGGGCACAUGAAUUAUGAAGUCACAGCUUGAUACAAUAGGCAUUAAAGCAACAAAGUAUUAAUAAUUUGUGUGAUUGUCCAAACCUACAAUAAUCCUCUUCCAUGAAAUCCUCAAGCUUCCCCUCUUCUCUCCACUGCAACAAACAAACAAACAUU